GUCGCUCUGUCCGAGUGGUUAAGGAGUUUGACUCGAAAUCAAAUGGGCUCUGCCCGCACAGGUUCGAAUCCUGUGGGCGACG
rfam:Gonapodya prolifera JEL478 unplaced genomic scaffold M427scaffold_113, whole genome shotgun sequence.